rnacentral:rRNA from 1 species
GAUGAACGAGGGCGGAGGGGGGAAAAACGGCAACUCGAAAGACGAAGCCCAGCUUGCUGGGUGGAUUAGUGGCGAACGGGUGAGUAACACGUGAGUAACCUGCCCUUAACUCUGGGGUAAGCCUGGGAAACUGGGUCUAAUACCGGAUAGGAGCGUCCACCGCAUGGUGGGUGUUGGAAAGAUUUAUCGGUUUUGGAUGGACUCGCGGCCUAUCAGCUUGUUGGUGAGGUAAUGGCUCACCAAGGCGACGCCGGUCAUCCGGCCUGAGAGGGUGGCCGGCCCCACUGGGACUGAGGCACGGCCCAGACUCCUACCGGAGGCAGCAGUCGGGAGUAUUGCACAAGGGGCGCAAGCCUGAUGCAGCGACGCCGCGUGAGGGGUUCCCGCCUGCGGGUUGUAAACCUCUUUCAGUAGGGAAGAAGCGAAAGUGACGGUACCUGCAGAAGAAGCACCGGCUCCCUACGUC